AAGCAACACUUUGUGGCAGAUGAUCAAAAAUGACUAACACAAUUUGAGCUUACUAUACUAAUGAAGUCUAACCUACUGCAGUGUUCUCUCUUCUGUGAAACAAACCACUAUAUAGACUUAGU